AUUGAACGCUGGCGGCAUGCCUUACACAUGCAAGUCGAACGGCAGCACGGGUGCUUGCACCUGGUGGCGAGUGGCGAACGGGUGAGUAAUACAUCGGAACGUACCUUAUCGUGGGGGAUAACGCAGCGAAAGCUGUGCUAAUACCGCAUACGCCCUGAGGGGGAAAGCGGGGGAUCGAAAGACCUCGCGCGAUUAGAGCGGCCGAUGCCUGAUUAGCUUGUUGGUGGGGUAAAAGCCCACCAAGGCGACGAUCAGUAGCUGGUCUGAGAGGACGAUCAGCCCCACUGGGGCUGAGACACGGACCAGACUCCUACGGGAGGCAGCAGUGGGGAAUUUUGGACAAUGGGGGCAACCCUGGUCCAGCAAGGCCGCGUGAGUGAAGAAGGCCUUCGGGUUGUAAAGCUCUUUUGUCAGGGAAGAAACACCGGCUCUAACACAGUCCGGGAAUGACGGUACCUGAAGAAUAAGCACCGGCUAACUACGUGCCAGCCGCCGCCGUAA
rnacentral:rRNA from 1 species